AUGUUAGUCUCAACCUCACCAGACAUCUGCUGGGGCCCCCGUGCAGUCGCUCACGAGGCUGCUCAGCAGAGCCACCCGAGCAGGAGCACCGGCCGCCCUGAUCCACCUCUCCCUGCCUGCCGCAGAGCGAGCCAAGGACUUUUGCAUGGAGCCACGCAAUGGAGAGGCACUUUGUCAUGCGUUGCAGACAUAGCACAGGACACAAGGGACCAAAAGCAAUGGCAAUGACAAUGGUUUCCUUCAAUAGCACAGGUACACAGAGAUGCAGGAGAAAGCCAAACCAUUUCCUCUGGUGAAGUUACAAGCCCUAACUGAGUUAGGAAAAAGUUGAUGGUGGAUAGCAGCCUCUCUGGAUCUGCCAUGCGUGAAGUGUUGACAGCAGCGCUGAACCAGGCGAUUGAGUCACUUCCAGGCGUGGACGUCACUUGGAGGCUGACUACAGCACAGCAGAUGCUCUCCCAAGGUGUGGGUGGCAUUUUCCCACCACAAGAAAGAUUUCAAUGAACUGCAUGGUUUCAGAUGGAUGUGUAUAAUGCCUCGCAAAAUUAAACCAAAUGUGAAUGCAUUUCUUUUUUUACAUGGGAAAUUCUGCAAGCAAUAUAAAUGACAUUUGGGUUCUGCCUUGAGAAAACAUUUGGAAGGAGUAUUUACAAAGGGAAAUCUAGUUUCUCCUUUCACAGUGCACUUCAUUUUUUACAAGUAAUAUUUCUGUUAUUGUUGUAGGUGCCAAGGUCAAAACCCUCUUUAUUUAAAUGGAGUAAAUGCAAAUGUGCUGUGAGACACCAAGUUUACACCACAAUGGGUAAUGACUGUUCAUUUAUUUGUAAGAAAGAACAUUUGCGGUUUAUUUUUGAGCCAAAAAGAUUGUUGGCCGUUAUUACACGUAUGAAAAUGUGGUAUCUCAUUUAAAAUGUGGCAGCAGCUACUGACAGAAGCAAAACUAACCCCCAGAAAACACUGUAGAUAGAAUAACUGUUUUCGAAAUAUGAAUGAGGUCACACUUGGAUGUGAUCUAUGUGUUAUUAAAAUCAAAGAUUUCCCUAGGCAGAAAGCCAUUAAGCCUGAGUUAACGCCAUAAAUAUCUAACAGCUACUUCAGGUGGAUAAUUCUGAUUAAAAUACUGCUGUA
rnacentral:lncRNA from 1 species